UACCAGCUCCCCGAGUGGUUAGGAUGUUUAUUGGGCCUAAAGCAUCCGUAGCCGGUCUUGUAGGUCUCCUGUUAAAUCCACCAGCUCAACUGUUGGGCCGCAGAAGAUACCGCAAGACUAGGAGGCGGGAGAGGUGGACGGUACUUUAUGGGUAGGGGUAAAAUCUUUUGAUCCGUAGAAGACCACCAGUGGCGAAGGCGGUCCACCAGAACGCGCUCGACGGUGAGGGAUGAAAGCUGGGGGAGCGAACCGGAUUAGAUACCCGGGUAGUCCCAGCUGUAAACGAUGCGAGCUAGGUGAUGGGGUGGCUACGAGCCAUCCCAGUGCCCCAGGGAAGCCGUUAAGCUCGCCGCCUGGGAAGUACGACCGCAAGGUUGAAACUUAAAGGAAUUGGCGGGGGAGCACCACGAAGGGGUGAAGCCUGCGGUUC
rnacentral:rRNA from 1 species